AAUUACUUUUAUGUAGCUCAAACUUGUUCAUGUUUGUUUGGUGCUACUACAGGAAAACAUCAGAAGAACAGGACAUGUAAAAAGAAAAUUUGCACAAGCAAAACAUAGUGACUUGAAUAAAUUAUGAUGUAAUGUUCCAAUAGAAGAAGAAGAGGAGGAGGAGGAGGUGGUGGCGGCGGCUCCCCAAGAAUAAUGGAUAAGACAUGAGAAGAAGCUGCUGGUGAAGAUGAGGAGACCAAAAAAAACAACCAAACCUUUCCUUCUAUUAACUUUUUAAAACCUUAUUAAAAUCCAAAUCCAGUUUGAGGUAA